CGUUCCAUGAGAAAGUAACCGACACACUGAAAAGGGGAAUUAAGCACCUUAUUAAAUGCGCUGAAUCCCAUAGCACGCUAACACAGGAGGUUCAGGUGCCACAUUUCAACUGGUCUGCCCUCGGAUCCGAUCACACGCACACAGCAGUUUCUUUUUUACUUUUUCAUUGUGUUUGGGAACGCCCUUUGGAUGCACUACGCAUUUCAUAUCUUACUAUUAUUAGUAUUAGUAUUAUAUUUCACAGGAGUGAAAGUUUGGAGCAUGCUCAGUGCAGCCGUACCGGACUGAUGGAGAUUUCCCAUUUCAUAGAGGCAGCUCUGCCUGCUGUUGCCUGGGCCAUCUAACAACAUCUGAAACACUGAGAGGAAAACUCGAGAGGGGACCAAAGACAGAGUGAACGGAGUCAGAAGAAACAUUAUUUACAACCACAAGCCAUGAAGACUGGACAGAAGGGUCGUGGCCUGAAGGUAAACAAAGCAAUGAAGACAACUGUGAAGACCCCGCCCAGGCGUGCAGGCAAAGCAUCAAUUUACAGCCCAAUGUACAGCCCUUUACCUGACAACAAGACUGCAGAUCAAUGCGCACCUUGUAUCAGUCGCUGCUUAAGUGCACUGCACUUCACACUUCAGCUUCCUCCUCUUCAUCUUUGGGGCAUGAAAACUGACAUUAAAUGACUGUAAACAGUA